UACGUAGGGUGCGAGCGUUGUCCGGAAUUAUUGGGCGUAAAGAGCUUGUAGGCGGUUUGUCGCGUCUGCUGUGAAAAUCCGGGGCUCAACCCCGGACUUGCAGUGGGUACGGGCAGACUAGAGUGUGGUAGGGGAGACUGGAAUUUCUGGUGUAGCGGUGAAAUGCGCAGAUAUCAGGAGGGAACACCGGUGGGCGAAGGCGGGUCUCUGGGCCGAUACUGA
rnacentral:rRNA from 1 species